rnacentral:rRNA from 1 species
AACGUAGGACACAAGCGUUAUCCGGAGUUACUGGGCGUAAAGGGCGUGUAGGCGGAGAUGUAAGUCUAUUCUGAAAGCUCCUGGCUAAACUGGGAGAGGCGAAUGGAGACUGCAUAUCUAGAGUGAGGAAGAGGAAAGUGGAAUUCCGCGUGUAGUGGUGAAAUGCGUAGAGAUGCGGAGGAACACCAGUGGCGAAAGCGGCAUCCUGGACCAAUAUUGACGCUGAGGAG